rnacentral:rRNA from 1 species
UAUUGCACAAUGGGCGCAAGCCUGAUGCAGCCAUGCCGCGUGUAUGAAGAAGGCCUUCGGGUUGUAAAGUACUUUCACUUGUGAGGAAGGGGGUGUUGUUAAUAGCAACAUCUCUUGACGUUAGCAACAGAAGAAGCACCGGCUAACUCCGUGCCAGCAGCCGCGGUAAUACGGAGGGUGCGAGCGUUAAUCGGAAUUACUGGGCGUAAAGCGCGUGCAGGUGGUUCAUUAAGUCAGAUGUGAAAGCCCGGGGCUCAACCUCGGAACUGCAUUUGAAACUGGUGAACUAGAGUACUGUAGAGGGGGGUAGAAUUUCAGGUGUAGCGGUGAAAUGCGUAGAGAUCUGAAGGAAUACCAGUGGCGAAGGCGGCCCCCUGACAGAUACGACAUCAGAUGCGAAA